rnacentral:rRNA from 1 species
UGGGGAAUAUUGGACAAUGGGGGGAACCCUGAUCCAGCCAUGCCGCGUGUGUGAAGAAGGCCUUAUGGUUGUAAAGCACUUUAAGCGAGGAGGAGGGUACUGGUAUUAAUACUACCAGGUACUGGACGUUACUCGCAGAAUAAGCACCGGCUAACUCUGUGCCAGCAGCCGCGGUAAUACAGAGGGUGCGAGCGUUAAUCGGAUUUACUGGGCGUAAAGCGUGCGUAGGCGGCUAAUUGAGUCGGAUGUGAAAUCCCCGGGCUUAACUUGGGAAUUGCAUUCGGUACUGGUUAGCUAGAGUGUGGGAGAGGAUGGUAGAAUUCCAGGUGUAGCGGUGAAAUGCGUAGAGAUCUGGAGGAAUACCGAUGGCGAAGGCAGCCAUCUGGCCUAACACUGACGCUGAGGUACGAAAGCAGGGGGAGCAAACAGG